CAGGUCUCUUAGGUGAUGCAGCAGCCAAGAUGGCGCCCGCAGCGGCCGCGGCGGCCUGAGCGCGAUGCUCGGGAUCCUUGGCGGCAGCGGCGGCUGUGGCUUCGGCCCAGGCCUUGGGUCUUUCUGGGCGUGAGCGGUCAGGUGUAUCUCUUCCGGCCUGGUUAAUCCGGACCAAGAGGAGACGGCCACGAAGAGAGGAGGCAGUGUAGAACAGAGAGAUAGCGCGGCGCCUCCCGCACCCGCACCAUGGCUGGGAUCAUCAAGAAACAGAUCCUGAAACACCUCUCCAGGUUUACCAAAAACUUAUCUCCUGACAAGAUAAACCUAAGUACCCUAAAAGGAGAAGGUGAACUGAAAAAUUUGGAAUUGGAUGAAGAGGUACUCCAAAAUAUGUUGGAUUUGCCAACCUGGCUUGCUAUCAACAAAGUGUUUUGUAAUAAAGCAUCCAUAAGGAUCCCGUGGACAAAACUGAAAACACAUCCAAUCUGUUUGUCCCUGGAUAAAGUCAUAAUGGAAAUGAGUACAUGUGAAGAACCAAGAGCCCCUAAUGGCCCCUCACCAAUUGCAACUGCUUCAGGACAAACUGAAUACGGCUUUGCUGAAAAAGUAGUUGAGGGAAUUACUGUUUCUGUAAAUUCCAUUGUCAUCCGAAUUGGAGCAAAAGCCUUCAAUGCAUCCUUUGAACUUUCGCAGCUACGGAUAUAUAGUGUAAAUGCUAACUGGGAACAUGGAGAUUUAAGAUUUACUCGUAUUCAAGAUCCACAGAGAGGAGAGGUUUUGACAUUUAAAGAAAUAAAUUGGCAGAUGAUUCGAAUAGAGGCAGAUGCUACCCAAAGUUCUCAUCUUGAAAUUAUGUGUGCUCCUGUUCGAUUAAUAACCAACCAAUCAAAAAUCAGAGUAACACUUAAAAGAAGAUUAAAGGACUGCAAUGUCACAGCAACAAAGUUAGUUCUAAUAUUGGAUGACUUAUUAUGGGUUUUAACGGAUUCCCAGUUGAAGGCCAUGGUGCAAUAUGCAAAGUCUCUUAGUGAAGCAAUAGAAAAAUCAACAGAACAAAGGAAGAGUAUGGCUCCUGAGCCUACACAGAGUUCUACCAUAGCAUCGUCUAUCCAGCAAGUGAAGACACCACAGACUUCAAAUGCUCCUGAUCUAAGUGAUGCAAUUGUGAAACUAUUCAGUGACUUUGAUGUUAAAGAAACUUCCCAUCAUUUAGUGAUUUCUCAUCUAGAUCUACACAUAUGUGAUGACAUUCAUGCAAAAGAAAAAGAGUCAAACAGACGUAUUACUGGAGGGGCUAUGCAGCUCUCUUUCACUCAACUAACUAUAGAUUAUUAUCCUUACCACAAAGCAGGAGAUAGUUGUAAUCAUUGGAUGUAUUUUAGUGAUGCAACCAAAACAAAAAAUGGAUGGGCUAAUGAGUUGUUACAUGAAUUUGAAUGCAACGUUGAAAUGCUUAAACAGGCUGUAAAGGAUCAUAAUGUAGGUUCACCUCCUAAAUCCCCAACACAUGUUUCUCCCCAGCACACACAAACAGAGAAAGACUCAGCUUCUAAAGGGACUUCCAGAACACCUUCAGUAUUAUCUCAACAAUCAAAAGCUAAGCUAAUGUCUAGUUCUGUUGUGGUUAGACUUGCAGAUUUCAAUAUAUACCAGGUUUCUACAGCAGACCAGUGUCGUUCUUCCCCCAAAAGUAUGAUUUCCUGCAAUAAAAAAUCCCUAUACCUUCCACAAGAAAUGUCAGCUGUCUAUAUAGAAUUCACAGAAUAUUAUUAUCCAGAUGGAAAGGAUUUUCCAAUUCCAUCUUCCAACCUGUAUAGCCAGCUAAAUGCACUACAGUUUACCGUGGAUGAGAGAAGCAUUCUAUGGUUAAAUCAAUUUCUGUUGGAUUUAAAACAGAGUCUUAAUCAAUUUAUGACUAUAUACAAGUUGAAUGACAAUUCAAACUCUGAUGAGCAUGUUGAUAUUCGAAUUGAUGGCUUAAUGCUAAAGUUUGUCAUUCCUUCUGAAACAAAAGCUGACUGUCAUCAAGAUCAACCACAUGCAAUUUCUGUUCAGAGUUCUGAAAUGAUUGCUACAAAUACAAGGCACUGUCCAAACUGUCGACAUUCUGAUCUAGAAGCUUUGUUUCAAGACUUCAAAGGUUGUGAUUUUUUUAGUAAAACAUACACCAGUUUUCCCAAAUCUUGUGACAGUUUUAAUCUUCUGCAUCCAAUCUUCCAGAGACACGCUCAUGAACAAGAUACCAAAAUGCAUGAAGUUUAUAAAGGAAAUAUUACUCCCGAAUUGAAUAAACAUACUCUUAAAACUUCUGCUGCCAUGGAUGUUUGGGCUGUUUACUUUUCUCAAUUUUGGAUAGACUAUGAAGGGAUGAAACGUGGAAAAGGACGGCCAAUAAAUUUUGUAGACUCUUUUCCUCUUUCUUUCUGGAUUUGUCAACCAACAAGAUAUGCAGAGUCACAAAAAGAGCUGCAGACUUGUAAUCACGUAUCUCUAAAUACAUCACAAAGUGAAUCUAGUGAUCUGGCUGGCCGACUGAAGCACAAAAAGCUCUUGAAGGAGUAUUAUAGUACAGAGGCUGAGCACUUGACAAAUGGUGGUCAGAAACCCUCUUCAUCAGAUACAUUUUUAAGAGUUUCCUCUUCAUCAUCCGAUGCAGAUAUUCAUGUCCUGGUUCACAUUCAUAAACACGUCAGUAUGCAUAUCAAUCACUACCAAUAUCUGCUCUUGCUUUUCCUCCAUGAGUCACUUAUUCUACUUUCAGAGAAUUUAAGGAAGGAUGUAGAAGCUGUGACUGGCAGUCGUGCCAGUCAGCCUUCCAUUUGCAUUGGAAUUUUACUUAAAAGCGCAGAAGUGGCUCUUUUGCUACAUCCAGUGGAUCAUGCAAAUAAUCUUAAGUCGUCUGUUCCUGAAAGUGUGGGCCCAGUGGUUCCUGAUUACUUGCCUACAGAAAAUGGAGAAUUUUUGUCUUCAAAAAGAAAGCAAGUUAGUGGUAUAAAUCAAAUUCGAAGUGUAACUCUUAGUCAUAUGGCAGACAGCAGAUCUAUGAGUGUUGACCUUUGCCAUGUCCCUUCGAAGGAUCCAUUGCUUUUUAAAUCAGCUAGUGAUACAAAUCUGCAAAAAGGUAUUUCUUUCCAGGAUUAUUUGUCAGAUAAAAAUUUAGGGAAAAUAAGUGAAGAUGAAAGUAGUGGACUUAUUUACAAAAGUGGCUCAGGAGAAUUUGGAUCAGAAAUAAGUGACAAAAAGCAUUCAUCCUAUACAGAUCCAAACAGUGUCUUAAACUACAGAGAAGAUUCAAGUAUCCUAUCAUAUGAUAAUAGUGGUAAUCAAAACAUAGUUUCAAAUAGUUUCACUGGUAAAGAAAAUAAAAACAUAGAAUCAAUCUUCAAAGCUGAAGAUUUGGUUCCAGAAACGGCUUCACUCUCUGAGAACCUGGAAAUCAGUAAAGAAGCAUCCACAGUUAGAGCACUUAAAUCACAGUGUUCUUUAAGUGGAAAGCCUAAGGAACGUUGCCCACACAACCUGGCUCCACUCGGUGUUUCUUUUAAGAACAUGGAAAAAAGCACUUCACAAACUUCUUUGGAUACCAUUUCACUUGACAGUAUGAUAUUGGAAGAACAGUUGUUAGAAAAUGAUGGAAGUGAUAGCCAUAUAUUUUUGGAAAAAGGUAUUAAAAAAACCUCAACUACAAAUUACCAGAGCCCAGCAGAGAAUGCAAAUGCCGGUGCUAACAUACAGAAUUAUGGUGAAACCUCUCCAGAUGCCAUCAGUACAAAUUCGGAGGGUGCGCAAGAAAAUCAUGACGACCUGAUAUCUGUUGUGGUGUUUAAAAUUACUGGUGUUAAUGGGGAAAUUGACAUCCGAGGAGAAGAUACUGAAAUCUGUCUUCAAGUGAACCGGGUGACACCAGAUCAGUUAGGCAAUAUCAGUUUUCGGAAUUAUCUUUGUAAUCGUCCAAUAGGCUCAGAUCACAAAGCCAUAAUUCAUUCCAAAUCCUCUCCUGAGAUUACUCUGAGGUUUGAAAGUGGGCCUGGUGCUGUCAUACACUCUUUGCUUGCAGAAAAAAAUGGAUUUCUGCAGUGCCAUAUAGAAAAUUUUAGUACUGAGUUCCUGACAUCUUCUCUUAUGAAUAUUCAACAUUUUUUGGAAGAUGAAACUGUUGCAACAGUGAUGCCAAUGAAGAUACAGGUUUCUAAUACAAAAAUAAAUUUAAAAGAUGACAGUCCACGUAGUAGUACGAUAUCCUUUGAACCAGCUCCUGUGAUGGUACAUAUUGAUCAUCUUGUGGUAGAGAGAAAUGAUGAUGGCUCUUUUCAUAUCAGAGAUUCUCAGAUGCUUAACACUGGAGAUGAUUUUAAAGACAGUGCCAAAAGUGAUUCAGUGCUACUGACCAGUGGAAAAUGUGAUCUGAAGAAACAGCACAGUGUCACUCAAGCUACUCAGACGAGUCCAGAGGUUCCUUGGCCUUCUCAGUCAGUUAACUUUCCUGAGUGCUUCUUUGACUUGUCUAGAGAACAGCUCAUGGAAGAAAAUGAGUCUCUUAAGCAGGAACUGGCUAAAGCUAAAAUGGCUCUUGCAGAAGCUUACUCAGAAAGAGAUGCUCUUCUUCAUCAUAUAAAGAAGAUGACUGUUGACUAACAAGAGCUGCAGUCAAAAACACAAAUUAUAGGUCUGGAGGAAGAAGGAUAUUUUAUAAUGGAUUGUUAGAGUUGAAGUCAACAUGAGAGAGAAUCUCAAUCAUGCAUUAUGAAAUAAAAGUACGUGAGUGAAUAUUUAAGAAACAAGGCUUUUAAAGAUAUAAAAUAUAUUUCUGAUAGAAUUCAACUAAAUGGGGUAUAUUUUUAAAUUCAUAUCCUUAAACAUAAAUAUAUCCAAGAGAGAACAUGCAACAGCUGGACUACCCUUUCCUUAAGAUACUUGAUAAUUCUAAACCAUGUUAAGACACUUUACGGUGCUCUGUUUGUUUGGCAUGACUUAUCUAGCCACCCCUAUAUCUGUGUACUUGAGGAAAAAUGCACUUUUCAUUUACAUUAAGUGUUGAAGUGAUUUUGAUUUUAUUGAAAACAAUACUGGCCUUUUUUUUCUUCUAUAAUAUCUAUUUUCAUUGACAUUAUUUUUAAAAAUAGGCACUAUUUGGGGAGCUGAGGACACAGAAGCAAACAAAAUAAAUUGUUAAUAUUUUACUUCAGAGUAUUUUUUAAAAACAUGUUAAACCAUGUUAAUCUAAAACUAUAUAAUAGUCUUAGAGUAAAUGCAAAGGUCUAAUUAAAAUUUAAAAUGUUUAGCUUGUAUUCUUGGUAGAGUACCUUUGAUUUCAACAAAUACAGUCUCUAUUAUGGAAAAGCAUGAUUUGAAGAGACUGAGCUAACAGUGUUUCUCAGGAUUGAUAACUAUUUGCUCUUUAUAAAUUUUAAAUUUAUCUGAUAUAUUAUAAUUAUUUAGUGUUACAGAAACUGAAAGUUUUCUUUAUUCUAAAUUUAUUUGUCCUUCCCCCCAAAAUCAUGUAAACAGUAGAGAUGAUAAGUAAUAUGGAUUUGAACAUUCCAUAUGCUUAAUUGGAUUUUUUAAUUGAAAAGCAGUACUAUUUUUUGUAGAGUUAAAAUUCAUAAAGCACUUCCAAAAAUGUUAUCUCAUGUAAUUUCCACAACAAGUCUGGGAGAUAGGUUAUUUCUCACAUUUUGGAAGUUAAAAAAAAUAAAAACCAAAUAACCUAAGGCUCAGAAAGGAGACUUUGACUAAUCACAAUUAGUAACCUGGUCUUUUGAGGUAAAGCCUAGUUAUAUGCUUUUAUUUUUAGCUCAUUCAUAGGUUAGCUGAAUUUACAGGUUUUUCAGGGAGGGAAGGAAUCACUGUCUUUAUCUGUUUUUCUUUUAAAGGUAAAUAUAAUACUUUUAAUAGUGUGUUUGUGUGAUGUGUUUGUUAGUAUGUAUGUGUAUUAUCAAACUACUUAGAAGGUAAGGGGGCGGAAUUUAAAAAAAAAAAAAAAAAAAGGUAAGGGGACCAUUUUUGCUUAAGUUAGCCCAAACUUUUUGCCAGUAUAUGAGAAGUACAGGAAUAAACCUGUCAUAUGAACUUAUUAAGAUUUUUAAAAAUGACCGUAAAUUAGAAAUAGAUCAAAGUUGUCACAUCUUGAAAUUUUCUUUGCUAAAUUUUCUUUUCUUUGCAGAGAAGAUGUUAAUGAUCUGGGGGAAAUGGUAAUAAUGUUUUACUUUUUAAUUUCAUUUAUGCCAAAAACCUGUUUUUGGUAUCUCAUUUUUAAGUUUUCUUAUCCUAUCCUAGAACUUCAAAAGAUCACAAUGUGACACUAGUUAUAAUGAAGCUUUAUUUUUGUUUGAGUCAUGUAAGAAUGACUGUGUAUGAUUUCAGACUAAGCCCUUUGUGGGUUUUUAUUAUUGUUACUGUUAUUUAAUAAGUUUUUAAUUAGUCUCUGGUCUAAUCAAGGCAUCUUUGUAUCUCAGUGUAUGGUACCACCGUUCACCUUAGUUCCCAAACUGUUUUAACCUUGAACUCAUCUUAGACACUGUUCUCACACUCACCCACCCCCCAACCAGUCCAUCACCAAGUCCUACCAUUUUACCUUUGUAAACAUCUCUCAAAUUCAUCCACUUCUCUCCACUUCCUAACUAAGCUACCAUCAUUACUGUGUUACUGCAGUUGCCUUCCUACUGGUCUUCCUGCAGCUUCUCUGGCCCUCCUUGGAUUCUGCUGUCUUUACUGUAGGCAGAAUGAUUUUUUUCAAAGCGCAGUUUUAAUCAAGCCAACUUCCCCUACCCCUACCCUAACUCCUAGCUUAGAACACUUCAAUGGCCUUUUAUACACUUGAGAUGAAAAUUGUGUUAUUUUGUGUGACCUACAAGGUCACAUGUUAGAUCCACCAUCUACUUCAUAGGGUAGUUCUGAGCAUAAGUGAGUUAAUGUCACAGAAGAUUAAGACAGUGGCACUCAAUAGAGGUUAGCUAUCAUUAUUAUUAAUUCUUUAUCAGUGUAAUUUUGCACCAUGUUUCACUCACUUUAUGUUCUACCUUCAUUGGCCUUCUUUCAUAGAUUCUGUGCUUCUUCUAUCAUAGGACCUUUGUUCAUGCUGUUCUCUUGGCUCAAAAUACCUUCCUUCCUCAUUGCCUAGUUAAUUCCUCUUUGUCUCUCAGAUCUCAGAUCUCAGCUCAUUCAUCACUUCCUCAGGGAAGCAUUUCCAGAAUUUUCUGACAGAGUUAAGGCUCCUCUGUUACAUAUUCUUACAUGACCAUAUACCUUUACUUCUUAGCAUUUUAACACCAUUGUUAUUCUAUAUGUGUUUCCUUGAUUAAUGUCAGACCCACUAGAUUGUAAACUCCAUGAGGAUAGGAACUGUGUCUUUGUUACCAUCAUUGUUCAACUUUGUAUUCCCUAUGCAUAAUACAGUGCCUGGCACACAGUAGGUGCUCAAUAAAUUUGUUGAAAGAAUAAAAUGAAUGGAUGAGAUACCAA